GUAUUAUUAGAAAUUGUACUUCCUCUAAAUAUAGGACAAAACUAACAUGAGAUUUAAAGUGAGCAAUAUAUUAAACUACACAUCGGCAUAAAACGAUAACAAUGCUUUCCCAGAUAAAGAUAACUAAUUUAUGAUGAUAAUGAGUAUAGUAGUCAAUGUUUCUUAUUUAAUUAUAAAUAAAUUAUAAAUCAUUAUUGAAAUAAUAUCAUAACUGGCAUAUUCUUAAGAUACUAUGUUAAUCACAAAUCANNNNNNNNNNNNNNNNNNNNNNNNNNNNNNNNNNNNNAUAAUAUAUAAUAAAACAGUUGACUAGGGAUAAGGCCAGCUUUGAGCAUUUGUUGUUAUUACAAAUAUGUUCACUGUGUUUAUGAUUUAUACUUCUAUAUUUCAAAAACAAAUUUAGACUACUAAAAUAAAAUACGUCAUCAACUAUAACAAAGCAAGUAAUGAAAAUGAAAGGAGUUGAGAAAUUAUCAGUUUGCACUUUUCUUUUUGAAACUGUCAGUUCCUCAAAGAACUGUGACUUUCACAUCUUACUCAUCUCGGUAUAAUCAGGACUAGCACAGUACUUGGCUUAUGAAGGCUCUCAGGAAAUGUGUGUUGAAUGAAAGGAAGAAAAAAUAACAACCGGAAAACAAUUAAAAGGAGUGAAAAACAUGGGAAGAGAGAACAGAAAAGUGGGGAGGGAGGUGAGAGAGGGGUGGAAGAUUUUAAACUUUUUGUUUUCAGUUUCAUUGUGGGUCUAAUGUCACUUGAUUAGAGAAAGCACACCAGAGUCCCUAAGACCUGGAGGCAGGGGAAGGGGGAAUUCUAGAGGACCAGAUACCAGAAGGCACCACGAUCCUCCUGCUGGGACCUCCUACAUCUCCACUGAAGACAACUGUGUAAAUAACUGCUGACAGGACAAUCUGAGGAGUCUAAACCUGUCCACCUCUUGGUCUUUUUUUGAAAUGACUGCUUUGUACAUUGAAUUCUCAAGGAUUUUCAAAGCCAGAAAAGUGAGAUAAUGGAGGGUGCCAUUCUCAAUUCCUCCCCGCAACCCCAACCAUCACCUCCAAAUCUGAUCACUCACUAUUGAAUAUUGUUUCCAAGUGCCUAUCACACCUCUUUCAAUUCUAAUCUUGGGUCUUUGAUGUUAAAACAGGAUAUAAUGUCCUGAAAACAUUAUUAAAUCUCCAAAUUUAUAAGUACUUCUCAAGUAGGUAUUAACAGAUUCUCCCGUAACAUAUAACUGAAAUUUUUAAGUACCCCUAUCAGAGUCUUGUGGCUCAGCUGGUAAAGAAUCCGCCUGCAGUGUGGGAGACCUGAGUUCGAUCCCUGGGUUGGGAAGAUCCACUGGAGAAGGGAACGUCUACCCACUCCAGUAUUCUGGCCUAGAGAAUUCCACAGACUGUAAAGUCCAUGGGGUGGCAAAGAGUCAGACAUGACUUAAGUGUCUUUCACUUCCACUUUCAUCAGAGUCUUAAUAAUAAAUGCAGGAUUAAGGUUCAUUUCUAAGCUCUUAGCAUUAAUUCAAGUACCAAAAUAAAGUGUAGUCUACAUUUCCAUUUUAUCAUUAUUGUGAUAACACUACUACCAAGUCCAUCCUGAGUCUGUCUACAUGAUGGGGAAUGCCAUCCUCACUAAGAUGCGCGCAAUGCUUUCGCAUUAGUUAUCUGAUUCAUAUCAGAUCUAUCCAAAGAGAAAAAAGUUCCCUAACAAAUUGUGUUAUAAAGAGCUUGGGAAACAAACACUCUCAUCCUUUGUGACUACAAAUUCGUACAAACACUUUGGAAGACAAUUAGGCAAUUUUAUCAAACUUUUAAAAACAUAUACCUAUAAACAGCAAUUCCACUAUGAGAAUUUAUUUUAUAGAUAUAAUUGCAUGUCUGUGAAAUAAUUUAUGUACUAGAACACAUGCUAGCCAAAAAUUAUAAACUAACUAAAUAGUCAUCAUUCAGGAACUGUGAUGCAGUUCAUUUUAUAUGUCAGUUUGCCUGGGCCAUAGUGUCCAGGUAUUUAGUUAAAUAUUAUUCUGAAUGUUUCUUUGAUCAUGUUUUUUGAUAAGAUUAACAUUAAAUCAGUGGACUUUGAAAAAGCAGAUUGUCCUUCAUAAUGUGGGUAAGCCUCAUCCAAUCACUGAAGACAUGAAUAUAACAAAAGACUACCUCAUAUAGGAAGGAAUUUUAUCAGUAAUGGCUUUUGGACUUGAAAUUCAGCAGCAUAGCAGCCCUGAUCGCCAGCCUGAUGGCCUUUGGAAGUGAACUACAGCAUCAGCUCUUACCUGGGUCUCCAACUAUUUAAUCUGAGUUUGAAUCGUAUCAGUAUGUGUUAUGGUAUGCAAUAUUUUUUAUAUUCUUCAUUUGAAACAGUAUUAUAAUCAUUUAAAAUUUUAAAUUGGUAUAUACAUUAGCUGCAUUAUAAAUAUAUGAUAAAAAUGCAUUUUCUAUGCAACUUAACAUAUUUGUAAUUUAAAGUUUGAGUCAUUAAAAUGCAAACAACAUUUACAUUAUAUGCUUUCACAAAUUCUUAAUGUGUUUAUUUCACUUCUCUAAUUAUUGUUAAUGCAAGAUUUCUUUUAGCCCUUUUAUGUUUCAGUUCAGUUCAGUUCAGUUGCUCAGUCGUAUCUGACUCUUUGUGACC
ensembl:lncRNA